GACAGAGGUGCCAAGCGUUAGGCGGAAUCACUGGGCUUAAAGCGUGUGUAGGCGGAUCGUUAAGUGCCUUGUGAAAUCCCUCGGCUCAACCGGGGAACUGCGUGUGAUACUGGCGGGCUUGAAUUCGGGAGAGGGAUGUGGAAUUCCAGGUGUAGCGGUGAAAUGCGUAGAUAUCUGGAGGAACACCGGUGGCGAAGGCGGCAUCCUGGACCGAGAUUGACGCUGAGGCGCGAAAGCUAGGGUAGCAAACGGG
rnacentral:rRNA from 1 species